AAGAAACUUAUAAAUUAGAGAGGAGAGAAGAGCAUGAUCGGCUCAAGGUGCAAAUGGUAGGGUCCAUUUCCCAUUUCCCAUUUCCCUUUGAUAAACUAGAGCGUUCUUUUACUAUAUAGUAGUUUCUAAUCAUUUGAGCUAAACCGUGGGACAAAGAACUACUAACAACUAAGAAGGGCUGCUACAAAGGUGGGGACGACUAAAUGUGUGUGUGUGUCUGUGUGUUUAAUGUGCUAAGUAUUUUCUCCUUAAUUGCUACGGGAGAUAGAGGGAGAGAAAGUGAUGAGUAGGAUACUGAAGGACCUAACAAUGCCUGAACUAUAAAGGACACGAUUAGACAUGUGUUUUUGUCGCAAAUAGUAGUUCCAAUUAAAAUCCUCUUAUUGAUCCACUAAAACAUGUGCAUCCUUUUUUUUUUUUGUCUCUGGCAUUAUUAUUAUUUUUUUUUUGUAAAAAGCAUUCUUAAAUUAAAGCAUAAGACCGAAAAUGUUUU
rnacentral:lncRNA from 1 species